UACGUAGGGUGCGAGCGUUGUCCGGAAUUAUUGGGCGUAAAGAGCUUGUAGGCGGUUUGUCGCGUCUGCCGUGAAAAUCCGGGGCUCAACCCCGGACUUGCGGUGGGUACGGGCAGACUAGAGUGUGGUAGGGGAGACUGGAAUUCCUGGUGUAGCGGUGAAAUGCGCAGAUAUCAGGAGGAACACCGAUGGCGAAGGCAGGUCUCUGGGCCGGUACUGACGCUGAGGCGCGAAAGCGUGGGGAGCGAACAGG
rnacentral:rRNA from 1 species